rnacentral:rRNA from 1 species
CCUACGGGUGGCAGCAGUGAGGAAUAUUGGUCAAUGGGCGCGAGCCUGAACCAGCCAAGUAGCGUGAAGGAUGACUGCCCUACGGGUUGUAAACUUCUUUUAUAAAGGAAUAAAGUGAGGCACGUGUGCCGUUUUGUAUGUACGUUAUGAAUAAGGAUCGGCUAACUCCGUGCCAGCAGCCGCGGUAAUACGGAGGAUCCGAGCGUUAUCCGGAUUUAUUGGGUUUAAAGGGAGCGUAGAUUGGUUGUUAAGUCAGUUGUGAAAGGUUGCGGCUCAACCGUAAAAUUGCAAUUGAUACUGGCUGUCUCGCGUACAGUUGACGUAGGCGGACUUCGUUGUGUAGCGGU